rnacentral:rRNA from 1 species
UACAGAGGGGGCGAGCGUUGUUCGGAAUUACUGGGCGUAAAGGGCGCGUAGGCGGCCCGCUAAGUCGAACGUGAAAUCCCCAGGCUCAACCUGGGAACUGCGUCCGAUACUGGCAGGCUUGAAUCCGGGAGAGGGAUGUGGAAUUCCAGGUGUAGCGGUGAAAUGCGUAGAUAUCUGGAGGAACACCGGUGGCGAAGGCGGCAUCCUGGACCGGCAUUGACGCUGAGGCGCGAAAGCUAGGGGAGCAAAC